rnacentral:rRNA from 1 species
UAUCUCUGUAGAGUCUGCAUAUCAAUAAGCGGAGGAAAAGAAACUAACAAGGAUUCCCUUAGUAACGGCGAGUGAAGCGGGAAGAGCUCAAAUUUGAAAUCUUCAAGGUUCUACCUUGACGAAUUGUAGUUUAAAGAAGUGUUUUCUGUUAGAUGAGUAGCAAAAGUUCCUUGGAAUGGGACAUCAUAGAGGGUGAGAAUCCCGUAUUUGGUUAUUCAUUCUAGCUUUGUGAUACACUUUCAAAGAGUCGGAUUGUUUGGGAAUGCAGUCCAAAAUGGGUGGUAAAUUUCAUCUAAAGCUAAAUAUUGGCGAGAGACCGAUAGCGAACAAGUACCGUGAGGGAAAGAUGAAAAGAACUUUGAAAAGAGAGUUAAACAGUACGUGAAAUUGUCAAAAGGGAAGCGUUUGACACCAGUGUUGUUUUUCUCGAAAAUCAAUUACGAAUGGCUUGAUUUUGUGUUGUAUUGACCUUAUCAGCUUUCUUCACUUUUUUCGAGUCUUUCUUAAUGCACUUUUUGGUUAACAAGUCAACAUCAAUUUCUUUUGUUGUAAAAGAGUAUUCGGAAGGUGGCUUUCUUUUCGGAGAAAGUGUUUAUAGCCCUAUACUUCUACAAUCGGAGAGAUUGAGGUCUGCAGCGUAGAUCCUUCGGGGUUAGAUACACUUGUGCUAAGUUGUAGCUUUUCAUAGACAACUUGUUGACUAUGUUUAGUCAUGCGGCUUACUCGCUUGUGCUAUUUUACCUACGCUUAGGAUGUUGACUGAUAUGUAGUCGUA